rnacentral:rRNA from 1 species
CACGUAGGCGGGUAUUUAAGUCAGGGGUGAAAUCCCGGAGCUCAACUCCGGAACUGCCUUUGAUACUGGAUACCUUGAGUUCGAGAGAGGUGAGUGGAAUUCCGAGUGUAGAGGUGAAAUUCGUAGAUAUUCGGAGGAACACCAGUGGCGAAGGCGGCUCACUGGCUCGAUACUGACGCUGAGGUGCGAAAGCGUGGGGAGCAAACA